rnacentral:rRNA from 1 species
UACGGGGGGGGCAAGCGUUGUUCGGAAUUACGUGGCGAGAAGGCUCGUAGGUGGCCAACUAAGUCAGACGUGAAAUCCCUCGGCUUAACCGGGGAACUGCGUCUGAUACUGGAUGGCUUGAGUUCGGGAGAGGGAUGCGGAAUUCCAGGUGUAGCGGUGAAAUGCGUAGAUAUCUGGAGGAACACCGGUGGCGAAGGCGGCAUCCUGGACCGACACUGACGCUGAGGAGCG